AACCUGGUUGAUCCUGCCAGUAGUCAUAUGCUUGUCUCAAAGACUAAGCCAUGCAUGUCUAAGUAUAAAUGUUAUACAGUAAAACUGCGAAUGGCUCAUUAAAACAGUUAUAGUUUAUUUGGUACUCGAUUUACAUGGAUAACCGUGGUAAUUCUAGAGCUAAUACAUGCUUUAAAGCCCGACUUCUCGGAAGGGCCGUAUUUAUUAGAUAACAGACCAAUAUUCCUCGUGUCUAUAGUGGUGAGUCAUAGUAACUUUUCGGAUCGCAUGGGCUUUGUCCCGCGACAAACCAUUCAAGUUUCUGCCCCAUCAGCUUUCGAUGGUAGUGUAUUGGACUACCAUGGCUUUCACGGGUAACGGAGGAUUAGGGUUCGAUUCCGGAGAGGGAGCCUGAGAAACGGCUACCACUUCUAAGGAAGGCAGCCAGGCGCGUAAUUACCC
rnacentral:rRNA from 1 species